CAUCAACUCCGCCGGCGGUGAUUUUGAUGUUACUAAUGACGUCUCACCCACGUAGAUGCAAAGAAAUUUUACGCAUAAAUAACAUCUGCAUCACGAAGAUUUCAGUUGAUCAUUUGAUUGCAAAGAUACCACGUAUACAAAUAUGAAGACUGUCGCCUUUGCUCUAGCGUUUCUGGUUGCCGGAGCAGCAUGCCAAGUGUACAAUGCUAGGCGAGGACAUGGUCACGGCGUCGGCCGCCAGGCCCGUGUCACAUACGGACGCGGUGUUAACCACUAUGAUUAUGAUACGCGACACCUUCAAUAUGGUGACACAACGCAUACCAUCACCCAGCGGGUGCCUCAUCUGUAUACUGGCAACAGCCAUCAUGGACAUGGGCUCGGAAACAGCAACAUUGGUUACAAUGGUCACAAUGGUUACACCGGUUUGGGUAAUCUUAACGGGUACCAAAACGGAUUCAACUCAAGAUCAUUUGGAGUCGGACCCGGUAUAGGAUCAGGCGUCGGAGGUGUGUUCAACCGCUUUGGAAGAGGUCGCGGAUAUUAGGAUGAAGUCUGACAACGGUCAUUAUCGCCGAGGAACAUUCGUGUUUGACGCACGGGUAGGCAUGGACAAUGAUGACCUUUUCGUCUUACCGUAACGACAACGAUUUUAAUUGUGAAAUAGCAAGUUUUUGUAUUGAAAUGGAACUGAAACAAAUAAAUCAUGAAUUACA